CGUAGGGUGCGAGCGUUAAUCGGAAUUACUGGGCGUAAAGCGUGCGCAGGCGGUUUGGCAAGUCAGAUGUGAAAUCCCCGAGCUCAACUUGGGAACUGCGUUUGAAACUGCCAGACUAGAAUAUGUCAGAGGGGGGUAGAAUUCCACGUGUAGCAGUGAAAUGCGUAGAGAUGUGGAGGAAUACCAAUGGCGAAGGCAGCCCCUGGGAUAAUAUUGACGCUCAUGCACGAAAGCGUGGGGAGCAAACAGGAUU
rnacentral:rRNA from 1 species